UACGUAGGGUGCAAGCGUUGUCCGGAAUUAUUGGGCGUAAAGAGCUCGUAGGCGGUCUGUCACGUCGGAUGUGAAAACUCGGGGCUCAACCCCGAGCCUGCAUACGAUACGGGCAGACUUGAGUUCGGCAGGGGAGACUGGAAUUCCUGGUGUAGCGGUGAAAUGCGCAGAUAUCAGGAGGAACACCGGUGGCGAAGGCGGGUCUCUGGGCCGAUACUGACGCUGAGGAGCGAAAGUGUGGGGAGCGAACAGG
rnacentral:rRNA from 1 species